rnacentral:rRNA from 1 species
UGACCUCAAAUCAGGUAGGACUACCCGCUGAACUUAAGCAUAUCAAUAAGCGGAGGAAAAGAAACUAACAAGGAUUCCCCUAGUAACUGCGAGUGAAGCGGGAAAAGCUCAAAUUUAAAAUCUGUCAGUCUUUGGCUGUCCGAGUUGUAAUCUAGAGAAGUGUUAUCCGCGCUGGACCGUGUACAAGUCUCCUGGAAUGGAGCGUCAUAGAGGGUGAGAAUCCCGUCUUUGACACGGACUGCCAGGGCUUUUGUGAUGCGCUCUCAAAGAGUCGAGUUGUUUGGGAAUGCAGCUCAAAAUGGGUGGUAAAUUCCAUCUAAAGCUAAAUAUUGGCGAGAGACCGAUAGCGAACAAGUACCGUGAGGGAAAGAUGAAAAGAACUUUGGAAAGAGAGUUAAACAGUACGUGAAAUUGCUGAAAGGGAAACGCUUGAAGUCAGUCGCGUCAUCCAGGGAUCAACCUUGCUUUUGCUUGGUGUACUUUCUGGUUGACGGGUCAGCAUCAAUUUUGACCAUUGGAAAAAGAUUAAGGGAAUGUGGCAUACAUUAGUGAUGUGUUAUAGCCCUUGGUUGCAUACAAUGGUUGGGAUUGAGGAACUCAGCACGCCGCAAGGCCGGGUUUUUACCACGUACGUGCUUAGGA